ACCCACCCAUUAGUUUUUAGUUUCUCUACUCGAACACAUUCAUCAGAUUAAUUUCUAUGUCUUCAUUCGAAUUCCUUCAGAGAAAAGAAAAAAAAAAUGAAACCCUAGAUUUUAGUUUCAAUCUCUUCUCUCGUGGUCAUAUUUGAUUUGGAGAGUUUAAUUUCCAUCUCAGUUUUCUUUAUCUUAAUAAACAAAAUCUUCAUCUCGAUUUCUUAUCCGAUUCUCACUAACUCAGAUAUGAUUAUUUCUUCAUCUCAGUCUUCUUCAUUAAAUUUCUUCAUCUGAUUAUACUUUAACUAAACAAUCAGGUUUGUUUGGAAAGAUUUACUCACUGAUCGAAUUUCUCUCACUUCAGAAGAGAAUCACAAAUUCGAUGCAUUAGAAGCAAGGAUUUCGACGCUUGAAUCUCUUAAAUUUCAGAAAAAGGAAUCAGCUCAGACAUUCGAUGGCACGGAAGAUUACAAUCCCAUGCUCUACUCUUCUGAGCUGCUAUUUUGCAUAUUCGUCGUAAGGAAACAGACUUGCAGGUCUUUAGAAACCUACAUUGUGGCUAAAAUUUAUAAAGCCCCAGAAAAGACUAAACCAUGUCUGCUCGCUGGGAGGAACUUUUAGUAUUGGAUACUUUGACAAUGCUUCUCCCUGAGAUGAAGUUGGAAAAUAUAAUAGUGCUGGCGAAGAUUACAAAAGGGCAUUGAAGUGCCUUAUGAUGGAUUGAAUUUUGAUCACCAGGUAUUUUAAAGUAUGAUAUUAUGCAAGAAUGUUGUUUAUUUGUCAUCAUCUUCACAAGCAUUGUGAGUUUUUGUUUGUUGUGUAACACCAGAGUUAACUUGAAUAGAAUUUGAUUCAUUUGUAUCUUGUAUUUAAAUAGACUUAUCCAGACAUUAAGAUAUGUACGUUAUAGAAUGUUGCGUUACUAAUUUCAUUAAAAGAUUUAUGUUUUCCCCA